rnacentral:lncRNA from 1 species
GGAUGGAUGCUGCUUGUUUUCUGUACCAACCUUGCUUUUUUACAUAGAGGCUUUUUGCUGAUCAGAACAGUAGUUUACUUCUUACCUGCUGAUAGUUGAAGAAGCUUCGUAUCACAUUCCCUAAAAAGAAGCUUUAUUUGGAGCUAAAAGGAUUGGGAGCAGAGUUCAAAGAUUAUUCUUUUACCACAGAUAAGUGUCUGCAUAUAUCCCUGUUCUGCUGUUUUGAGGAAUGGGUUGUAAUCAUACUUGAAAUUAUGCUGAAGUAAAUGCAUCAAAAUGUGGUAACUUCAAUAAUGUACUAAAAUGGGCUGGCUUGAAAAGGAAUGGCUUUUCACAGGAAGUUGCUUUUUAAUUUCUUUUUACACUGUCAGCUUUCCUCUGUUUGAGGCUAAUAUUUGGAGGUUGAUAUCCCUUGUCUUUGCACACAUAGAACAUCUCUGUCUUAGUGAAUGUCUCUAUACUGCCUGUGCUUAGGCAAAAUUUACAGAUAAGAAAAUCUUCAAGCCUUCAGAAUGAAAGUGAUCUUUGUUAAUCUCCUUUUUCUGAGCAUUUGCCUGUGAUUUCUUAGGCUAACUCAGAACAGAAUAAUAUUUCAGUUACAGUUUACUCUUAUGAGGAGCUUUCUUGGAAAAAAACCCACAAAAAUACAAUCCUGUAGCACAUGGGAAGUUCUUUUGCAGAUUGUUUCCCCCGCUCCCCCUGUUCCUCAUACCUUCCUGAUGAAGAUAUCUGCAUCAGGAAGAAAGCAGCAGCCUUAAUUCUAGCAGCAUAUAGAGAAAUCUCGGGAGUACAAGGCUAUAAAGGUGCUUUACAACAGAUGAGAUAUUUUUUAGAGUAUUUGAUUUUUUUCUACUUUCAUCUAGCUUUAUUAUUCACUGUUAAGUACUUGAAGAGACUGUGGUGUGGGUAAGAAGUGGGAGAGCAGUAUAUGCGCAAAAUAUUUCUAAAUAGUUUUUACCAAAAGGAGGCUGAGUAUAGCUCGGUUUUAUUUCUUAUCCAUGAACCAUUCCAGCUCUACUACUAAACAAUGUUCAGGGCAUUUGGUAGUAUUUUACACGUUUAAUCUUUAACAUCAGUGUGCAACAAAUAAUUCCAAUAUGUAUUUGUCACUUCAUUUCGAAUAAAACUAUGCCAAGCCUGAAAA